AUUGAACGCUGGCGGCAGGACUAACACAUGCAAGUCGAGCGAGAGGCGGACGGGUGAGUAAUGUCUGGGAAACUGCCUGAUGGAGGGGGAUAACUACUGGAAACGGUAGCUAAUCACGCAUAGCAUCAGAUGUGCCCAGAUGGGAUUAGCUAGUAGGUGGGGUAACGGCUCACCUAGGAGACGAGCCCUAGCUGGUCUGAGAGGAUGACCAGCCACCCUGGAACUGAGACACGGUCCAGACUCCUACGGGAGGCAGCAGUGGGGAUGAUUGCACAAUGGGCGCAAGCCGGAGGCAGCCAUGCCGCGUGUGUGAAGAAGGCCUUCGGGUUGUAAAGCACUUUCAGCGGGGAGGCGUUACCCGCAGAAGAAGCACCGGCUAACUCCGUGCCAGCAGCCGCGGUAAUUC
rnacentral:rRNA from 1 species